rnacentral:rRNA from 1 species
CUUGCCCCCACAUAAGAGGUCCAGCCUGCCCAGUGACAUAGUUCAACGGCCGCGGUAUCCUAACCGUGCGAAGGUAGCGUAAUCACUUGUUCUUUAAAUAAGGACUAGUAUGAAAGGCAUCACGAGAGUCAUGCUGUCUCCUUUCUCUAAUCAGUGAAACUAAUCCCCCCGUGAAGAAGCGGGAAUAAAAAUAUAAGACGAGAAGACCCUAUGGAGCUUUAAACAAAUAACACUUGCCUCCCCAAUUCCUAAUUUCAGAAAAAUUUUCUACUACGGCAUCAUGAUUAUAAGUUUUCGGUUGGGGUGACCACGGAGUAAAAAACAACCUCCGCAAUGAAAGCAUUCACUUAAUCAAGAGCUACAACCCUACACAUUAACAAAUUAACAUAAUUGACCCAACAUGUUGACCAAUGAAC